UACGUAGGGUGCAAGCGUUGUCCGGAAUUAUUGGGCGUAAAGAGCUCGUAGGCGGUCUGUCGCGUCGGCUGUGAAAACCCGGAGCUCAACUCCGGGCCUGCAGUCGAUACGGGCAGACUGGAGUUCGGCAGGGGAGACUGGAAUCCUGGUGUAGCGGUGAAAUGCGCAGAUAUCAGGAGGAACACCGGUGGCGAAGGCGGGUCUCUGGGCCGAUACUGACACUGAGGAGCGAAAGCGUGGGGAGCGAACAGG
rnacentral:rRNA from 1 species